rnacentral:rRNA from 1 species
GGAACUCUGAGACAGGUGCUGCAUGGCUGUCGUCAGCUCGUGUUGUGAAAUGUUGGGUUAAGUCCCGCAACGAGCGCAACCCUUAUCCUUUGUUGCCAGCGGUUAGGCCGGGAACUCAAAGGAGACUGCCAGUGAUAAACUGGAGGAAGGUGGGGAUGACGUCAAGUCAUCAUGGCCCUUACGAGUAGGGCUACACACGUGCUACAAUGGCGCAUACAAAGAGAAGCGACCUCGCGAGAGCAAGCGGACCUCAUAAAGUGCGUCGUAGUCCGGAUUGGAGUCUGCAACUCGACUCCAUGAAGUCGGAAUCGCUAGUAAUCGUGGAUCAGAAUGCCACGGUGAAUACGUUCCCGGGCCUUGUACACACCGCCCGUCACACCAUGGGAGUGGGUUGCAAAAGAAGUAGGUAGCUUAACCUUCGGGAGGGCGCUUACCACUUUGUGAUUCAUGACUGGGGUGAAGUCGUAACAAGGUAACCGUAGGGGAACCUGCGGUUGGAUCACCUCCUUA